AAAGAAGCAAAAGAAGCCAAAACAAGGUGUUUCAGCUGGGGCAGCAGUUUGAUAUAGAAUAGUAAAUGCCCUGGGCAUGUACCAGAGCCAAAUCACCUACCUUUGGCAUGUUUUGACUUGGACUUCCUGUUUUGACUAUUUACCGCUGUAGAAAUUGAUUAGAAUUAAUUUAGAAAACUUUUCUACCCUAUUUAGGAUUUAUUUGUUUUUCUUUUCAACUAGGAUUAGUUUAUGUCUAUUUUUUU
rnacentral:misc_RNA from 1 species